rnacentral:lncRNA from 1 species
GAUUCCCUGAGCCUCCAGCCGUGCAGAGCUCCUGAGGCUGGCGAGUGGCGACCCUGCUGUGGCGAGAGAUCCUUCUUGUCCUCCCAACCGACACAUACAUAGAAUCCAAGAAUGGAAAUGUGGCGGAGGGCGCAGCCAACCACCAGCUGGGAGCGAGCAAGGUUCGUGCUGCUGUGGAGGUGCGGCAUGUCUCUCCGCGCCAUCGCACGCCACACGGGCUCCAGCGUCACGACAGUCUAUCGAUGGAUUCGACGCUGGCAGCAUGAGGGACACAUUAAAACAAGGAGCAGAUUAUGCAAGUCUUUCGAAUGUGACUUCCUAAAAUACAUUCCCUCAACUAAAGACGUUGAGUACGGAAACAUAACAUUUGCUCCGAACAGUAAGCUGGACAAGGGAGUCAUAAAAACAUCUUUGGAUACAAGCAAGGCAUUCCCAUCGCCUCCCUACUAUGACUCAAUACACACCUUGUCCAAACACUUCCCAUUCUAUUUAGAGCCAAACAAUUCUGAUCUCCUAACGAUGUUCAUCGCUGUUUGUCCCUGUGAAUGGCAGUUACACCCUACAACUUAAAAAAAAGUUAUUGAGAAUCUCCAAGGAAGAUAGUUCUGCUUUGCUAGGUUUAAGAGAGCAACGUUUUAUAAAAGAGUCAAAUCUGAUCACUUUCCACCAAAGUCUCGUCGGAGCUGUUCAAUGACGCUACAUUACUUCUAAAUGUUGGAUCUGCUACAGAGAACCAGUGAUGAUAGUUUAGCGGGUUUUUCCGUUAGAUAUAAAAGAUGAAAA